rnacentral:rRNA from 1 species
GUGGGGAAUCUUGCGCAAUGGGCGAAAGCCUGACGCAGCCAUGCCGCGUGAAUGAUGAAGGUCUUAGGAUUGUAAAAUUCUUUCACCGGGGACGAUAAUGACGGUACCCGGAGAAGAAGCCCCGGCUAACUUCGUGCCAGCAGCCGCGGUAAUACGAAGGGGGCUAGCGUUGCUCGGAAUUACUGGGCGUAACGGGCGCGUAGGCGGACAGUUUAGUCAGAGGUGAAAGCCCAGGGCUCAACCUUGGAAUUGCCUUUGAUACUGGCUGUCUUGAGUACGGGAGAGGUGAGUGGAACUCCGAGUGUAGAGGUGAAAUUCGUAGAUAUUCGGAAGAACACCAGUGGCGAAGGCGACUCACUGGCCCGUUACUGACGCUGAGGCGCGAAAGCGUGGGGAGCAAACAGGAUUAGAUACCCGAGUAGUCC